UUUUUUUUACCUUGAAUGUCAGGUGAGUGUUCACCCCAAGCAUCUUGUGGCUCAUCUGCCUGGGAGAAGCUCAUGGGAACAUCUGGAGCUGAGAAUGAUGGAACUGUACUCAUGUAGAGCCUGUUACCUUGACAGCUGGGGAAAGUCUCAAAACAGGCCUGCUGUGGCUUCUCCAUGGCCCUUUGGUGGUGAUUAACAAGUGCUGUUGAAAGAAUUGAAUUUUCAGAUUCUGAGAUGUCAGAAGUGUAGCAUGCCCUUUUCCAUUUUUUGGAAAUGUUGUCAAAUGAUGCUGAAAUUAUCAAAAAUUCUGGCCUGAUGCUUGGUCCAACCCUUAUCUGGCUGUGGUGCCUCCAUCAACCUGACGCUCUUUAGUAACCGGUCCAAGUCUUUGUAUGGAGGCCACCAUGAGUGGCCAUCUGAGUACCAGGACUUUGCUACAGGACCGGUACUCCCUUCUCCGAUGAACUCCACUAUCAGAAAUGUGUUGGUCCUGAGAUGCCAUCAACUAGAUGAAUACCAAGUUCUGAGGAUGGAAUGGGAUAAUCAAAAAAAGGUUCAUGAUUGUUGAAGGUAGUGUAGGCCACGUAAAUGUCAUCCCUCGCUGAAAUUAUAUUUUGCAGCUUUGCAACUUUCCCAUCAAUGUAAACAAAACUGUUGGCCUGGUCCAGUUUAAGAGUGUAAGAGCAGGUUUUUAUUUCUUUGUACUGUGAAGAUCCAUGAAAACAUUCAGGUAGACUGCCAGCCGUGUGUGGUUUUCUGAGCAGUGGUGGGUUGUUUUUCUCCUUUUUUUUUGCUGCAGCUUUGCAUUUCUGAGAACCUUCUCACAAUUUGACUCAGUGGACAUGUAGGUUUCCGCAGGAGUCUCUUCAGCUUGUUAAGGUGAUCCUCGUACUGGAAA